AGCUUGCUGGGUACUCGAGUGGCGAACGGGUGAGUAACACGUGGGUGAUCUGCCCCUGACUUUGGGAUAAGCCUGGGAAACUGGGUCUAAUACCGAAUAUUCAUUUUUCCUCGCAUGGGGAUUUGUGGAAAGCUUUUGCGGUUGGGGAUGGGCCCGCGGCCUAUCAGCUUGUUGGUGGGGUAAUGGCCUACCAAGGCGACGACGGGUAGCCGACCUGAGAGGGUGAUCGGCCACACUGGGACUGAGACACGGCCCAGACUCCUACGGGAGGCAGCAGUGGGGAAUAUUGCACAAUGGGCGCAAGCCUGAUGCAGCGACGCCGCGUGAGGGAUGACGGCCUUCGGGUUGUAAACCUCUUUCAGCUCCGACGAAGCGCAAGUGACGGUAGGAGCAGAAGAAGCACCGGCCAACUACGUGCCAGCAGCCGCGGUAAUACGUAGGGUGCAAGCGUUGUCCGGAAUUACUGGGCGUAAAGAGCUCGUAGGCGGUUUGUCGCGUCGUCUGUGAAAUUCUGCAGCUUAACUGCAGGCGUGCAGGCGAUACGGGCAGACUUGAGUACUACAGGGGAGACUGGAAUUCCUGGUGUAGCGGUGAAAUGCGCAGAUAUCAGGAGGAACACCGGUGGCGAAGGCGGGUCUCUGGGUAGUAACUGACGCUGAGGAGCGAAAGCGUGGGUAGCGAACAGGAUUAGAUACCCUGGUAGUCCACGCCGUAAACGGUGGGUACUAG
rnacentral:rRNA from 1 species